UAACCCUCCGCUCGAGAACGUGGUUUCUUUUGCGACGUGCAAUACUCUGUGGCAGAAGUCUUGCACCGUUCCAAAAGAGAGCAGCACGUGGAGCGACGAGAACGG
ensembl:ncRNA mir-4977 mir-4977 stem loop